GGGGCUGCGCCGAGCGGUGUGCCUGCGUGGGGCGGGAGCGGUUCAGGUCGCCUCGCUCUGCCGGGGCAUAAAGCUGCUCUCCUGAGGAGGCUGCAGAUAGGAAAACCCCUUGCUGUCAUGGCUGCCCGCGUGUCUCAGCUUAAGCACGGCUCUGCUCAGCAUACAAGAAACAAGCUCCUGAUAAAUGCCUGCUGCUAAAUAAUGCAUUUUGUCUGUAGAUCUUCUUGAUACCUCCAAGAGCUGCGUGCACAGCCAGAUGUAAUAGACUCUGCAGGUGAAAAUUCUGAAAAUACUUAUCUGCAUACAAGCGUAGCUUCAGAUCUCCUGAGAUGUUGGCUCCUGCAAGAAUGCCAGUUGCAGCUGGGAAAAAGAUGGCAAACACUGAAAAAAAUCCUUCUCCACUUCUGAAAUCUGGUCCAAAGUUUUCUGCAAAUAUUGAUGCUGCAAAUACAGGUGAAAAUUUCUGAGCUUUUGUCACAGCAGAAUACGAAAAGAGAAGUCCUAUUCUAGAACUGAUUUCUACAUUCUGAGGUAUUUUCAUUUGUAUUUCCAUUUUUAAUUUUUUUAAUGUAAGGUAAAGGAAUAGCAGAAAUCAUCAGAGAUUAUGGAAUGGACAGAAAAUGGAGCUUUCCUGCUAGGCAGAGCUUCGGAGGGUACAGUGACAAAAACAUUGUUUUAACUGCUACUUAUUCUCUCAAGCUGCUUCAAAAAUAAGGACAAAAGGGGCGCUUACUCAAGGCUUUAAAUGAUGCCAUGGCUUAUGAAAAUCAAUGUAAACAAGCGGUCUGUGGAACGUAAACUUCCUUUUUCCCUCUUAAAUGAAUGUUCAAGGAAGAACAUAGAGUAGUAUUGCUUUCAUUGAAUGUAAUGAUUAAGCUGCUUUGCUUUUAGAAAGGUUAGGCUUCCCACCUGUUGUACAGCAUUCCUCAUGUGUUAACCCUGCACAGUAUUCUAAUAUAUUCUUUGCUUGUAUUUAGUUUUAAAGCUUUACCUUUGCUUCCCAUUCCAUGCCAGCAACAGAGAUGCCAAGAAGACAUAUAACAGUUAUGGUACCUAUUAUUCUGAUAUCAUUGGACUCAUCUACCAUUAUCGAAUCACUCUCCUGAAAAGAUGAAAAUAUUUGCUCAUCUUCUAAGGAGGUAGCUGAAACGUAAGGGGUAUUAUGAAGAAUUAUACUGGAAGGAAUUAAAUUGAAGAUAUCCACCGACCUGCAUCAGACUUAAAAAUAAGAGGAAGAGUGCAGUGCUUGUUUUGUCCAAGGAUGUCCAACCUGAAAGGCUCUGAAUAAGAAAGACCUGCUGAAAGAACAGGUUAGCCUUCAUCUCUCCUGAGGAUAAAGAUGAUGAGCUCAUGAAGUCAUCAUAACAAGUGUGGAGAAUAACCAAGAUGAAGAAAGGAACUAUCCUGUUCAGUGCUAUCUUGAAAACACCACAAAGGUCUGUCAGUCCAAGGUCACAAAAUGAGUCUGUGGGACAGUCAGGAAUGGACUUCAGCCAUGCUAAUGGUGGGUUGUUUGUUCCAGUGAUUCUCAAACCAAGGCCUCACUGCACAUAUGGGCACAGCAGAUUGCCAGCAUAACAAAAAUCUCAUUACCUCUGACAUUCACCUUUGUAUUGUGAGAAGCAUAAGAUUAUUCUUCUGUAAGCUGGAUAAUAGGUAAUAGAAAAAGUAUGGGGACAAGUGAGCUAGACGAUGCUCUUUUCUCAUCCCUUGCAGUCCCAACCCAUGAAGCAAUUUUCCAUUCAUUUUAUUCUAGAAUGGAAGAUGCCUUCUUUUUAACCUUCUCUCAGUGAAAGUUGUAACAAAGCCCAAGCAAUUUGUCUGUUCAUUUAAAACAAACAAACCAAUCUGCUAGCCCAAAUGAGAUGCCCAAUAGCAAAAAACCUGAAUUUUCUGGUAGUGUUCAAAACUGAAAAUCCCUUAAUAUGCUCAUGUUCAGUACAAGUUCGUUUAGCACUGUGUUCAGAGCCAAAAUACACUAUUUUUCCCUCUACCUGCCUACCACUGAUGUAAAUUAUUUCUGUAACAGGAAGUUUCUUUUGAGCAUGGAAAUGUGUUUAGUUUCUUCAGUAGCACUUACUCAUCUGCACAUCUGGCAGAGCAGAAUUCAUAUUCACCCCUAUUCACAUCCACUUUGCAUUCAUUUAUGGAAAUAUAAGUGAUUACUCAGGUAACUUGUUUCUCCUUUCUAUGUAAACCAUUUUAUGCAGGUUUGUGGAGACCUUAAAAAAGUGGGACUGUAGACAUUUAGCUGUCUUAAACGGAUACUAUAGAAUAAGGUCCUAAUUUUCCUAGUAUUUUUCUGCUUCAUUUCAUUUAUUUUUAUUGAUCCUAUUUAGGACAGGUGAAUCUCCAAAGAAAUAGAGUUUGAGUAAGAUCUGGACCAAAAAAUAGAUGCUUAUCAGAAUUAUUCAGACCUCAGAAGUAUGUAAAAGACAGUGGACAGUUCCAUUUGUCUUUCCACUGCUGUAGAAUAGAAGGAAGACCUGUUCCAUCAAGACAUACUGUCAGGUGAAGACCACUCGUCCUUUGAUUUACUGCCCAUAUAAAAACACUGGCAUAAAGAAAGGCUCCUUAACAUCUUGCUGUGAGUAGAAAGGCCAUUGGAGGAGGCCCUUGUGAGGCUGGAACAGCGAGUCUAAGAGAAAAUAGCAAUGAGGAAAAUAGCUUGGCACAGAGACCAUUAAGAGAAGCAGCAGCUGGGCAGUGACAUUUGCAGCUUCCAGGCAAGCAAUGAAUUGCAGAAAUGAGAUUUUAUCCUUAGUAGAUAGACAAGCCUGGAGUCUCCAAGGAACAAGAGACCCUGCGCUAUGCAUUGUGCUGUGAAUUCACGGAUAUGCGGCCAAGGUCCAGAUAACAGAGGCAAGAAAAUAAAACGUUCACCGGUGCCACCUUUAACUUGCGAACGUGGAAAACCGCUACCUGUUUCCCUGGGGCAUGCAGGCUACAAGAACCGCAGGACACCGAGCACCCGCCGCUCCAUGCGCAGCCUGCGCAGCCCCUACUUUCUCCGGC